rnacentral:rRNA from 1 species
AUGCUGCUGCUGAGGCGACGACCCUUCCGAGCUUCCCGGCCCCGGUCGUCGCAUGGGACGAGGACGAGCUCCCAUCCCACCGCGGUCACCUCUGGUUGGCGCGCCCGCGCCAUCACGGCUUCUUCCACCGCCGCGGCGCGUUCUCCGGCCUGGGCGAGGCCCGCGUCCAACCUGCGGCCUUCUUCCCCACGGAGGUGCUGGGAGAAGAGCAAGCACACUGGGAGGCGGUGCUGGAGGUGGUCGCGGAGCCUGAACCCGACACCCACGGCGAGGAGGGUGAGGGGAACGAGGCAGUGA